rnacentral:piRNA from 1 species
UAAUGACGGAUCAUUGUUUUGUGAG